rnacentral:tRNA from 1 species
GCCUCAAUAGCUCAAUGGCAGAGCAUCCGGCUGUUAACCGGAGGGUUGUAGGUUCGAGCCCUACUUGAGGCGCCA